rnacentral:lncRNA from 1 species
ACUACCUAAGGACUGACUGAGAGCAUAUCUGGAAAAAUUAAAUAUACACCAAACACAUACAGAUCUUUAUUUCUUGCUUUUCUACAUCGUUAGUCUUUAUCAUCUUUAUAUAGCAUAAGUAAGCUACAGGCAUUUAUUCAAAGCCCACACAAGAAAUCAGAACAGUACUAGUAGGCAAACAAUGAACUCAGAGACAGGAGGAGAGUUACAUUUCAGCCACCCGAAAAGUUGAUAAAUGCUGGCACACACAUUGCUAGAUCCAGCUGAGCUAUUCAGACUUUGAGCAGGUUGUCCCCAGAUUUUAAUCUAUAAAUUUAAGUGGUUACAUUACAUAUCACUCCUAAAGUGGCUGGUUCCAAAGUUCAGUUUACCUAGUUACUGCUUAAAAUUCAACUGAAGCUACCAAAUUAGUAAGCACAAAACCUGACCAAGGUCUGUUUCUGAGAGUCAUAUUACACUCAGAUCACCUAACCCUAACCCAAGGUAGUAACUGAACAGACAGUAUUGUGGCUGCUUACAGGACACCCAAUGCUCUUCUGGCCCCCAAAGGCAUCCACAUGCAUGCACACAAACGGCUAAACCAAACUUGUCCCCAAUUUAUCUGCACUAUGUUCUCUAUUGCUGCUAGUAUGCUCAGUGUAUGCUUCUUAAAGAGAGAGAAUUUGGGGUCAACAAGAUGACUCAGUGGUAAUCAUAGCACCUGAUUUUGACCCUCAGAACAAAGAGGAAAGGGAAAGAGCCAAGCCCCGAUGGCUGCCCUCUGCCCCACAGGAGGACACACUUGCACAGCAGCACAACCAUAGCUGCUGCCAGAAGCUCACACUGAAAGGUCUUCUGGCAACGCACUGUAAAUUCUUUCUGUAAAACCAAUAAGAACUCCAAUACUGCAUGGUGGCGCACGCCUUUAUGCCCAGCAUUAGAAUUGCUUCCUGACAGCUUUAAUACCUAGUGUUUUUAUAUUACUGUUAUUUUCCCCAGCCUUGACUGCUGUUAAUACUAUAAAUAUCAGUUUAUUUCAUCUUAUUAGCCCAUGGUUAUUCUUUCCAUUUCAGGAAAGAUGCAGGUCCCCUACAAACCUCCCUGUUAGCACUGACUCGUGAUUUAUCCACCUGCUGUCUCUCAGACACUUAUUUAAAGUUCAUAACAACCAGUGCACCCUCAGCU